rnacentral:rRNA from 1 species
UAAAGGAAGCGAUUCCGGCUACGGAUGGUCAUGCGUCGCAUUAGCUAGUUGGCGGGGUAACGGCCCACCAAGGCGACGAUGCGUAGGGGUUCUGAGAGGAAGGUCCCCCACACUGGUACUGAGACACGGACCAGACUCCUACGGGAGGCAGCAGUGAGGAAUAUUGGUCAAUGGCCGCAGGGCUGAACCAGCCAAGUCGCGUGAGGGAUGACGGUCCUAUGGAUUGUAAACCUCUUUUGUCAGGGAGCAAAGGGCGCCACGUGUGGCGUUUUGCGAGUACCUGAAGAAAAAGCAUCGGCUAACUCCGUGCCAGCAGCCGCGGUAAUACGGAGGAUGCGAGCGUUAUCCGGAUUUAUUGGGUUUAAAGGGUGCGCAGGCGGAAUGUCAAGUCAGCGGUAAAAUUUCGGGGCUCAACCCCGUCGUGCCGUUGAAACUGGCGUUCUUGAGUGAGCGAGAAGUAUGCGGAAUGCGUGGUGUAGCGGUGAAAUGCAUAGAUAUCACGCAGAACUCCGAUUGCGAAGGCAGCAUACCGGCGCUCAACUGACGCUCAUGCACGAAAGCGUGGGUAUCGAACAGGAUUAGAUACCCUGGUAGUCCACGCAGU